rnacentral:rRNA from 1 species
UACGUAGGUGGCGAGCGUUGUCCGGAAUUACUGGGUGUAAAGGGCGUGCAGGCGGGGGCGUAAGUCAGAUGUGAAAGUCCACGGCUUAACCGUGGGACUGCAUCUGAAACUACACUGCUUGAGUGCUGGAGAGGGAAGCGGAAUUCCUAGUGUAGCGGUGAAAUGCGUAGAGAUGAGGAGGAACACCAGUGGCGAAGGCUGCCUCCUGGACAGUAACUGACGCUGAGGCGCGAAAGUGUGGGUAGCAAACAGG